AUUGAACGCUGGCGGCAGGCCUAACACAUGCAAGUCGAACGAGUGGCGGACGGGUGAGUAAUGUCUGGGAAACUGCCUGAUGGAGGGGGAUAACUACUGGAAACGGUAGCUAAUACCGCAUACCAUCGGAUGUGCCCAGAUGGGAUUAGAUUGUUGGGGGGGUAACGGCUCACCAAGGCGACGCUCCCUAGCUGUUCUGAGAGGAUGACCAGCCACAUGGGAACUGAGACACGGUCCAGACCCCUACGGGAGGCAGCAGUGGGGAAUAUUGCACAAUGGGCGCAAGCCUGAUGCAGCCAUGCCGCGUGUAUGAAGAAGGCCGUCGGGUUGUAAAGUACUUUCAGCGGGGAGGCGUUACCCGCAGAAGAAGUACCGGCUAACUCCGGGCCAGCCGCCGCGGUAAUAC
rnacentral:rRNA from 1 species